UGUGGCAGCAAUAGCAAGAGGGAAACACCCGUAACCAUACCGAACACGGAAGUUAAGGCUCUUAACGCUGAAGGUACUUGGUUGGAGACGACCUGGGAUAAUAGGUAGCCGCCACUU
rfam:Anaerosphaera sp. HMSC064C01 Anaerosphaera_spHMPREF2800-1.0_Cont43.1, whole genome shotgun sequence.